AUGGCCAUGGCGAUGUCGGACAGCGGGGCGAGUCGCCUGCGGCGGCAGCUGGAAUCGAGCGGCUUUGAGGCGAGACUGUACGUGAAGCAGCUAUCGCAGCAGUCGGACGGAGACCGGGAUUUGCAGGAACACCGACAGCGGAUCCAGGCACUGGCCGAGGAGACGGCGCAGAACCUGAAGCGGAACGUGUACCAGAACUACCGGCAGUUCAUCGAGACCGCGCGAGAGAUCUCCUACCUGGAGAGUGAGAUGUACCAGCUCAGCCACCUUCUCACCGAACAGAAGAGCAGCCUUGAGAGCAUCCCGCUCACCCUGCUCCCCGCCGCUGCCGCUGCUGCUGCGGGUGCCGCCGCCGCCGCCGGGGCCGACGAGGGAGGCGGCGGCUGCCCGGGAGGCCGAGACCACCUUCGAGGCCCGGCCGGCUUCUUCCCGGGCCACGGGGGCGCCGCCCGGGACAACCAGAGUGCGGGGGAAGAAGGCAAGCAGCGGACGCUGACUACCUUGCUGGAGAAAGUGGAGGGCUGCAGGCACCUGCUGGAGACUCCUGGGCAGUACCUGGUCUACAACGGAGACCUGGUAGAGUAUGAGGCGGACCACAUGGCUCAGCUGCAACGGGUGCACGGUUUUCUCAUGAACGACUGUCUGCUGGUGGCCACCUGGCUGCCCCAGCGAAGAGGGAUGUACCGCUACAAUGCCCUCUAUCCCCUGGACAGAUUGGCAGUGGUGAAUGUCAAGGAUAACCCGCCCAUGAAGGACAUGUUCAAGCUCCUGAUGUUCCCUGAGAGCCGAAUCUUUCAGGCAGAGAAUGCCAAGAUCAAAAGGGAGUGGCUGGAAGUGCUAGAAGAAACCAAAAGGGCCCUUAGUGAAAAAAGACGCAGGGAGCAGGAGGAGGCAGCAGCUCCACGGGGCCCACCCCAUGUUUCUUCGCAGACCACAAAUCCAUUUGAGGAUGAAGAAGAAGAGGAAGAACCUACUACUCCUGAAGUUGAGGAAAAAGUGGAUUUAUCAAUGGAAUGGAUCCAGGAGUUGCCCGAGGACCUGGAUGUCUGUAUUGCUCAGAGGGACUUUGAAGGGGCAGUGGAUCUGUUGGAUAAGUUAAACCAUUAUCUGGAGGGCAAGCCAUGCCCCACUCCUGUAAAGGAGCUGAGGGCCAAAGUGGAUGAACGAGUCAGGCAACUCACUGAAGUGCUGGUCUUUGAACUUUCCCCUGAUCGGUCUCUAAGGGGUGGUCCUAAGGCCACUCGAAGGGCAGUUUCUCAGUUAAUACGACUUGGUCAGUGCACCAAGGCUUGUGAGCUGUUUUUGAGAAAUAGGGCAGCAGCUGUGCACACUGCAAUUCGGCAGCUUCGAAUUGAAGGUGCCACUUUACUCUAUAUUCAUAAGUUAUGCCAUGUCUUUUUCACCAGCCUUCUUGAGACUGCCAGGGAGUUUGAGACCGAUUUUGCAAGCUCAAACAGUGGUUGUUACUCUGCCUUUAUUGUUUGGGCCCGGUCAGCCAUGGGCAUGUUUGUGGAUGCUUUUAGCAAGCAGGUGUUUGACAGCAAAGAGAGCCUGUCUACAGCAGCCGAGUGUGUAAAAGUGGCUAAGGAACAUUGCCAGCAGUUGGGUGAUAUUGGGUUGGACCUUACUUUCAUCAUCCAUGCUCUCUUGGUAAAGGAUAUCCAAGGAGCUUUGCACAGUUAUAAAGAAAUAAUAAUUGAGGCCACUAAGCACCGUAACUCUGAGGAAAUGUGGAGGAAGAUGAACUUGAUGACUCCAGAGGCACUGGGGAAACUCAAAGAAGAGAUGAAAAGCUGUGGGUGUGAGGAAUAUUUAACACCAUUAAUCUGCUUGAGAGUUCCAUUUUUGGAUUAUACACCGUCUCAGACUGCAGAUGAAGAGUUUAAAUGACUCAUCCAAGAUCAUCCAGCUAGUAAACUUUUAAGGAAGAGCUCUCUGAUCUAUUCAGAGGGAGUCAAUUGAAAAGCAUCAUAUUAGAACAACUUGAGCUUUUUCCAUGGUUUCCUGUCCAGUGAAGCUUCAGCAAACAAAAUCACAAAAGGCCACUUGCACGAAACAGGUCCAGAGAUUUGAUACCUCUCUGAGCACUGACGAGAAAGGGGACAGAUACAGUGGGAGAUCUCAGUAAGUUGGCUUUCUAUUCUUUUUAUUAUCUGAAAUCAAAAUUCCUCUCAUGCAGAUAAAUUGGUUGCCCAAGUAACAAUCUUGUGAAUGGAGGCAAGUAUCUCACAAAUGACCUUGUCACAAAUGUUCCAGUUGUACCAAGGCUUAUGAAUGAAGAUUAACCACCUCAUGAAAAUGAAUAUACACUAACAAAGAAGUUUGAAUCUAGCUAGUACAUGAGUGUCAGCAGAGAGUUUUAGAAAAUGUUUUUCAUUUAUUUACUUGAGUACAUGUUAUUAUCUACCCAGUAGAAUAUAAAUUCCUUGAGGAUGAACUGUUUAAUUUUUCUCCUUGUAUUUCUAGCACCUGACACAAAUGUCUAGGGUAGAGCAUGUGCUUAAUAAAUAUUUGUUGAAUUGAAUUAAGAGUAUUUUC
ensembl:lncRNA